GACGAAGCGUCCAAACGUUAUUCGGAAUCACUGGGCUUACAGAGUUCGUAGGCGGUCUGGAAAGUUGGGUGUGAAAUCCCUCGGCCUAACCGAGGAACUGCGCUUGAAACUACCAGACUCGAGGGGGAUAGAGGAAAGCGGAACUGAUGGUGGAGCGGUGAAAUGCGUUGAUAUCAUCAGGAACACCGGUGGCGAAGGCGGCUUUCUGGGUCUUACCUGACGCUGAGGAACGAAAGCCAGGGGAGCGAACGGG
rnacentral:rRNA from 1 species